AUUGAACGCUGGCGGCAUGCCUUACACAUGCAAGUCGAACGGUAACGGGCCUUCGGGUGCCGACGAGUGGCGAACGGGUGAGUAAUGUAUCGGAACGUACCUUUCAGUGGGGGAUAACGUAGCGAAAGUUACGCUAAUACCGCAUAUUCUGUGCGCAGGAAAGCAGGGGAUCGCAAGACCUUGCGCUGAUUGAGCGGCCGAUAUCAGAUUAGGUAGUUGGUGAGGUAAAGGCUCACCAAGGCGACGAUCUGUAGCGGGUCUGAGAGGAGGAUCCGCCAGAGUGGAACGGAGGAACGGUCCAGACUCCUACGGGAGGCAGCAGUGGGGAAUUUUGGACAAUGGGGGCAACCCGGAUCCAGCCAUGCCGCGUGAGUGAAGAAGGCCUUCGGGUUGUAAAGCUCUUUCGGCCGGGAAGAAAUCGUAUCAGCUAAUACCUGGUGCGGAUGACGGUACCGGCAUAAGAAGCACCGGCUAACUACGUGCCAGCCGCCGCAGUAAAAC
rnacentral:rRNA from 1 species